GGUGGAGUGGCGCAAUGGUAGCGUGUGGUCCUCCUAUAAAAAAUGGGUCCAGACUGAGGUUGUGGGUUCGAGUCCCAUCUCCAUCG